rnacentral:rRNA from 1 species
GACGAACCGUGCGAACGUUGUUCGGAUUCACUGGGCUUAAAGGGCGCGUAGGCGGGCUCUCAAGUCGGGGGUGAAAUCCCACAGCUCAACUGUGGAAGUGCCUCCGAUACUGGGAGCCUUGAGGGAGGUAGGGGUGCGUGGAACUUCCGGUGGAGCGGUGAAAUGCGUAGAUAUCGGAAGGAACGCCGGUGGCGAAAGCGACGCACUGGAUCUCUUCUGACGCUGAGGCGCGAAAGCCAGGGGAGCAAACGGG